GAUGAACGCUCGCGAUAGGCUUAACACAUGCAAGUCGAGGGGCAGCACAAGGUAGCUUGCUAUCUGGGUGGCGACCGGCGCACGGGUGCGUAACGCGUAUGCAACUUGCCCUAUACAGGAGGAUAACCCGUCGAAAGACGGACUAAUACUGCGUAUGCUCACAACUUGGCAUCAAGUGGUGAGGAAAGAAAUUCGGUAUAGGAUAGGCAUGCGUCCCAUUAGCUUGUUGGUGAGGUAACGGCUCACCAAGGCAACGAUGGGUAGGGGAACUGAGAGGUUUAUCCCCCACACUGGUACUGAGACACGGACCAGACUCCUACGGGAGGCAGCAGUGAGGAAGAUUGGUCAAGGGGCGCGAGCCUGAACCAGCCAAGUCGCGUGAAGGAUGACUGUCUUAUGGAUUGUAAACUUCUUUUAUACGGGAAUAACAAGAGUCACGUGUGACUCCCUGCAUGUACCGGAUGAAUAAGCAUCGGCUAACUCCGUG
rnacentral:rRNA from 1 species